rnacentral:rRNA from 1 species
UGGGGGAUAUUGCACAAUGGGGGAAACCCUGAUGCAGCAACGCCGCGUGAAGGAAGAAGGUCUUCGGAUUGUAAACUUUUGUCUUGUGGGACGAAUAAUGACGGUACCACAGGAGGAAGCCACGGCUAACUACGUGCCAGCAGCCGCGGUAAUCCGUAGGUGGCGAGCGUUGUCCGGAAUUACUGGGUGUAAAGGGUGCGUAGGCGGGUUUGCAAGUCAGGCGUGAAAACUAUCGGCGCAACCGGUAGCCUGCGUUUGAAACUGUGAAUCUGGAGUGGUGAAGAGGUAAGCGGAAUUCCUAGUGUAGCGGUGAAAUGCGUAGAUAUUAGGAGGAACACCAGUGGCGAAGGCGGCUUACUGGGCACUAACUGACGCUGAGGCACGAAAGCAUGGGGAGCAAACA